rnacentral:rRNA from 1 species
ACUACGGGGGGCAGCAGUGGGGAAUAUUGCACAAUGGGCGCAAGCCUGAUGCAGCCAUGCCGCGUGUGUGAAGAAGGCCUUCGGGUUGUAAAGCACUUUCAGCGGGGAGGAAGGCGUUAAGGUUAAUAACCUUGUCGAUUGACGUUACCCGCAGAAGAAGCACCGGCUAACUCCGUGCCAGCAGCCGCGGCAAUACGGAGGGUGCAAGCGUUAAUCGGAAUUACUGGGCGUAAAGCGCACGCAGGCGGUCUGUCAAGUCGGAUGUGAAAUCCCCGGGCUCAACCGGGGAACUGCAUUCGAAACUGGCAGGCUAGAGUCUUGUAGAGGGGGGUAGAAUUCCAGGUGUAGCGGUGAAAUGCGUAGAGAUCUGGAGGAAUACCGGUGGCGAAGCCGGCCCCCUGGACAAAGACUGACGCUCAGGUGCGAAAGCGUGGGGAGCAAACAGGAUUAGAUACCCCGGUAGUC